GGGUUGUGAGGUUAAGCGACUAAGCGUACACGGUGGAUGCCCUGGCAGUCAGAGGCGAUGAAGGACGUGCUAAUCUGCGAUAAGCGUCGGUAAGGUGAUAUGAACCGUUAUAACCGGCGAUUUCCGAAUGGGGAAACCCAGUGUGAUUCGUCACACUAUCAUUAACUGAAUCCAUAGGUUAAUGAGGCGAACCGGGGGAACUGAAACAUCUAAGUACCCCGAGGAAAAGAAAUCAACCGAGAUUCCCCCAGUAGCGGCGAGCGAACGGGGAGCAGCCCAGAGCCUGAAUCAGUGUGUGUGUUAGUGGAAGCGUCUGGAAAGGCGCGCGAUACAGGGUGACAGCCCCGUACACAAAAAUGCACAUGCUGUGAGCUCGAUGAGUAGGGCGGGACACGUGGUAUCCUGUCUGAAUAUGGGGGGACCAUCCUCCAAGGCUAAAUACUCCUGACUGACCGAUAGUGAACCAGUACCGUGAGGGAAAGGCGAAAAGAACCCCGGCGAGGGGAGUGAAAAAGAACCUGAAACCGUGUACGUACAAGCAGUGGGAGCACAGAGCAAUCUGUGUGACUGCGUACCUUUUGUAUAAUGGGUCAGCGACUUAUAUUCUGUAGCAAGGUUAACCGAAUAGGGGAGCCGAAGGGAAACCGAGUCUUAACUGGGCGUUAAGUUGCAGGGUAUAGACCCGAAACCCGGUGAUCUAGCCAUGGGCAGGUUGAAGGUUGGGUAACACUAACUGGAGGACCGAACCGACUAAUGUUGAAAAAUUAGCGGAUGACUUGUGGCUGGGGGUGAAAGGCCAAUCAAACCGGGAGAUAGCUGGUUCUCCCCGAAAGCUAUUUAGGUAGCGCCUCGUGAAUUCAUCUCCGGGGGUAGAGCACUGUUUCGGCAAGGGGGUCAUCCCGACUUACCAACCCGAUGCAAACUGCGAAUACCGGAGAAUGUUAUCACGGGAGACACACGGCGGGUGCUAACGUCCGUCGUGAAGAGGGAAACAACCCAGACCGCCAGCUAAGGUCCCAAAGUCAUGGUUAAGUGGGAAACGAUGUGGGAAGGCCCAGACAGCCAGGAUGUUGGCUUAGAAGCAGCCAUCAUUUAAAGAAAGCGUAAUAGCUCACUGGUCGAGUCGGCCUGCGCGGAAGAUGUAACGGGGCUAAACCAUGCACCGAAGCUGCGGCAGCGACGCUUAUGCGUUGUUGGGUAGGGGAGCGUUCUGUAAGCCUGCGAAGGUGUGCUGUGAGGCAUGCUGGAGGUAUCAGAAGUGCGAAUGCUGACAUAAGUAACGAUAAAGCGGGUGAAAAGCCCGCUCGCCGGAAGACCAAGGGUUCCUGUCCAACGUUAAUCGGGGCAGGGUGAGUCGACCCCUAAGGCGAGGCCGAAAGGCGUAGUCGAUGGGAAACAGGUUAAUAUUCCUGUACUUGGUGUUACUGCGAAGGGGGGACGGAGAAGGCUAUGUUGGCCGGGCGACGGUUGUCCCGGUUUAAGCGUGUAGGCUGGUUUUCCAGGCAAAUCCGGAAAAUCAAGGCUGAGGCGUGAUGACGAGGCACUACGGUGCUGAAGCAACAAAUGCCCUGCUUCCAGGAAAAGCCUCUAAGCAUCAGGUAACAUCAAAUCGUACCCCAAACCGACACAGGUGGUCAGGUAGAGAAUACCAAGGCGCUUGAGAGAACUCGGGUGAAGGAACUAGGCAAAAUGGUGCCGUAACUUCGGGAGAAGGCACGCUGAUAUGUAGGUGAAGUCCCUCGCGGAUGGAGCUGAAAUCAGUCGAAGAUACCAGCUGGCUGCAACUGUUUAUUAAAAACACAGCACUGUGCAAACACGAAAGUGGACGUAUACGGUGUGACGCCUGCCCGGUGCCGGAAGGUUAAUUGAUGGGGUUAGCGCAAGCGAAGCUCUUGAUCGAAGCCCCGGUAAACGGCGGCCGUAACUAUAACGGUCCUAAGGUAGCGAAAUUCCUUGUCGGGUAAGUUCCGACCUGCACGAAUGGCGUAAUGAUGGCCAGGCUGUCUCCACCCGAGACUCAGUGAAAUUGAACUCGCUGUGAAGAUGCAGUGUACCCGCGGCAAGACGGAAAGACCCCGUGAACCUUUACUAUAGCUUGACACUGAACAUUGAGCCUUGAUGUGUAGGAUAGGUGGGAGGCUUUGAAGUGUGGACGCCAGUCUGCAUGGAGCCGACCUUGAAAUACCACCCUUUAAUGUUUGAUGUUCUAACGUUGACCCGUAAUCCGGGUUGCGGACAGUGUCUGGUGGGUAGUUUGACUGGGGCGGUCUCCUCCUAAAGAGUAACGGAGGAGCACGAAGGUUGGCUAAUCCUGGUCGGACAUCAGGAGGUUAGUGCAAUGGCAUAAGCCAGCUUGACUGCGAGCGUGACGGCGCGAGCAGGUGCGAAAGCAGGUCAUAGUGAUCCGGUGGUUCUGAAUGGAAGGGCCAUCGCUCAACGGAUAAAAGGUACUCCGGGGAUAACAGGCUGAUACCGCCCAAGAGUUCAUAUCGACGGCGGUGUUUGGCACCUCGAUGUCGGCUCAUCACAUCCUGGGGCUGAAGUAGGUCCCAAGGGUAUGGCUGUUCGCCAUUUAAAGUGGUACGCGAGCUGGGUUUAGAACGUCGUGAGACAGUUCGGUCCCUAUCUGCCGUGGGCGCUGGAGAACUGAGGGGGGCUGCUCCUAGUACGAGAGGACCGGAGUGGACGCAUCACUGGUGUUCGGGUUGUCAUGCCAAUGGCACUGCCCGGUAGCUAAAUGCGGAAGAGAUAAGUGCUGAAAGCAUCUAAGCACGAAACUUGCCCCGAGAUGAGUUCUCCCUGACUCCUUGAGAGUCCUGAAGGAACGUUGAAGACGACGACGUUGAUAGGCCGGGUGUGUAAGCGCAGCGAUGCGUUGAGCUAACCGGUACUAAUGAACCGUGAGGCUUAACCUUACAACGCCGAAGGUGUUU
rnacentral:rRNA from 1 species